rnacentral:rRNA from 1 species
AUUGAACGCUGGCGGCAGGCCUAACACAUGCAAGUAGAGCGAGCGGCUGACGGGUGAGUAAUUUCUGGGACACUGCCUGAUGGAGGGGGAGAACUACUGGAACCGGUAUCUACUACCGCAUACCAUCAGAUGUGCCCAGAUGGGAUUAGCUAGUAGGUGGGGUAACGGCUCACCUAGGCGACGAUCCCUAGCUGGUCUGAGAGGAUGACCAGCAACACUGGAACGGAGACACGGUCCAGAAUCAGACGGGAGGCAGCAUGGGGGAAUAUUGCAGAAUGGGCGCAAGCGGGAUGCAGGCAUGCCGCGUGUGUGAAGAAGGCCUUCGGGUGGUAAAGCACUUUCAGCGGGGAGGCGUUACCCGCAGAAGAAGCACCGGCUGACUCCGUGUCAGCAGCCGCGGUAAUUC